rnacentral:rRNA from 1 species
GGAAGCACCGGCUAACUCCGUGCCAGCAGCCGCGGUAAUACGGGGGGUGCAAGCGUUGUUCGGAAUUAUUGGGCGUAAAGCGCGUGUAGGCGGUUUKWUWAGUCUGAUGUGAAAGCCCUGGGCUCAACCCAGGAAGUGCAUUGGAUACUGKMAGACUUGAAUACGGGAGAGGGUAGUGGAAUUCCUAGUGUAGGAGUGAAAUCCGUAGAUAUUAGGAGGAACACCGGUGGCGAAGGCGGCUACCUGGACCGAUAUUGACGCUGAGACGCGAAAGCGUGGGKAGCAAACAGGAUUAGAUACCCUGGUARUMCACGCCGUAAACGAUGAGAACUAGGUGUCGCGGSUMMUGCCC